rnacentral:rRNA from 1 species
CCUACGGGAGGCAGCAGUGAGGAAUAUUGGUCAAUGGUCGGGAGACUGAACCAGCCAAGCCGCGUGAGGGAUGAAGGUACAGAGUAUCGUAAACCUCUUUUGUCAGGGAACAAAGGCGGGGACGUGUCCCCGGAUGAGUGUACCUGAAGAAAAAGCAUCGGCUAACUCCGUGCCAGCAGCCGCGGUAAUACGGAGGAUGCGAGCGUUAUCCGGAUUUAUUGGGUUUAAAGGGUGCGCAGGCGGUCUGUUAAGUCAGCGGUCAAAGCCCGGGGCUCAACCCCGGCCCGCCGUUGAAACUGGCAGGCUCGAGUUGGAGAGAAGUAUGCGGAAUGCGCGGUGUAGCGGUGAAAUGCAUAGAUAUCGCGCAGAACUCCGAGUGCGAAGGCAGCAUGCCGGCUCCACACUGACGCUGAGGCACGAAAGCGUGGGUAUCGAACAGGAUUAGAUACCCUUGUAGUC